CAGCAGCCAAGAGACUCAGCCUACACAUCUGAGUCACUGCUUCACAUCCUGCCUGCUUCAGCACUUCCUUACUCAAAGCAGAGGCUCCUUGGAGCAGCAGAUUGAACUUCCAGCCACUUCAAAUAGGACAGCGAGAAAUCCCACAGACCAAAGGAGCACUAGGUGAAGUCAGCAACGUGGAAGAAUUCCUAAGGGCUGGCAAACCUAAAAAAUGGAAUGGAUGACUGUCUGGAUGUUUACUUGCUUGCUGAUUACAUCUCUACCCAGAGGUCAACCAGACAUGACGUGCCAUGCAUCUGUGGGAGAAACUGUUGUGUUGCCCUGCAACAGCACCUCUCCUGAAGAGCUGAACAUUCCCCACUCGAAGCUCUACUGGCAGAUAGAGGAUGACUUAGUGCAUUUCCUUUUCGAAGGGCACGAUGAUCUGGAGUUUCAGGAUAAGAAAUACCACGGCAGAACCAGUCUUUUUUUAAAUGAGGUGAAGCAUGGCAACUUUUCCUUAAAGCUCUCCAACGUCCAGCCACAGGAUGAAGCUGUGUAUAGUUGCAUCUACAGCCAGGCUGGGCAUCAAACACAGAAAUCUAAAAUUAAGCUCGAAGUAUCAGGCUCACCUAGCACUGAGGAGAAACACGAGUCUUCCGGACACGCUCAGAUUUCCUUGAGAAGUGCUGGUGAUGCACCACAUCUGGAUACACUUUCCCUCUCUUUUCAUCUCCUGGUGGCAGUAGGGGUUUGUCACCUGUACCUGGGGAAGUUGACCUUCUUCUCCUUGAAAGCUGUCCUCGAUAACAGAGCCUUACUAGGGAGAACAGCUCUGUAAGGUCAGCAUGAUAACUGCUCCAGAGCCACAUGAAAUGAAUACCAUCAUCUGAACAUUGACCCAGCACUAAGGUGCCUAUGUCUUCUAUUUUGGUGUUCCAGAAAACCAAAUGCAGCUGAACUCAUAGCUUGCUUUUCUUUUGUUCCUGGAGCCCAGAGGUAGUGCUGCUAGUACAAAGUUUUUAUUCUGAAUGUUGCGACUGAUUUAAUGACAAGAUAAAAGGCUCAUGAAGCCACAGGGUCACACACUGUCAGACCUUUGUGAGAUCUUUCACCUAAGAACUCACCCGCUGUCCUUCAGGAGAACCGAAAGCAGGAGAAGAGACAACUACUCUCUGUCAGAUAAAAUGUGGAAGUAGGAAGAGGCUCGCGUCGUGAAACGUAAGGAUGGAAAUCUUGUGAAACUUGAGCCUGUGGAACUUGAGUUUCUGCUUUAUUGCUAAGCGUCAUGGUCUGUCAUCAGAAGUAUUUUUUCCGAAAGAAAUGGACUAUUUCUUCAUCAGAAGGGUGAAGCUGACAGAGAUGGUGGUGAAAGUUCAGAGAAUAUCAGUGCAAAAGAAGGAAGUGAUGCAGUAUAACAAAUCACUUCCUUAUAAACCAGAGGCUUUAGAAGGCCGAAUUCAGCAUUUUCUUUUUGCCAUGAAGCACAGAAAAGUAAAAGUGGUCAUCGUAUAAAAGCUCUAUUUGUAACCUGGAACUGUGCAAGAAGAAAUUCUUACUGUGACAAUGUUCCUAGCUUAAAAAUGGUACCUUCUGGAAGAAAUUUUAGAAUCUGGUCAAAAUGAUUGUAGCAGUUACCCAUGCAAAUGAAAUGAGUUCUUAAAAUGUCCAAUCCAGGUAGUAUAAGAUUUCCUGUGUAAACUAAGAUUGAAAGGAUCCUGAAUAGGAAUAUUAUCAGGAAAUGGCCAAGCUUUGUUUCAGGCCAGAACUGCAGCAACAGCACUACUGCAGAACUGAGAUUCAGGUGAACUACUCACCCUGUCCUGCAGGGAGAGCGAUGCAGUCAUUGUGGCAGACAGAGGAGAGUGACAGAGAAAAAUGCACGUCAGGUCAUCCGGAUUUGGAACAACUCACCCUCUUUCCAAAGGAAAGAUAGGAUUGUUUUUGCAAGAAAAGAAACAGAAUAAAAUAGGGCUUUAAAUGGUAUCCA
ensembl:lncRNA